GACGAACGCUGGCGGCGUGCUUAACACAUGCAAGUCGAACGGAAAGGCCCUGCUUUUGUGGGGUGCUCGAGUGGCGAACGGGUGAGUAACACGUGAGUAACCUGCCCUUGACUUUGGGAUAACUUCAGGAAACUGGGGCUAAUACCGGAUAGGAGCUCCUGCUGCAUGGUGGGGGUUGGAAAGUUUCGGCGGUUGGGGAUGGACUCGCGGCUUAUCAGCUUGUUGGUGGGGUAGUGGCUUACCAAGGCUUUGACGGGUAGCCGGCCUGAGAGGGUGACCGGCGACAUUGGGACUGAGAUACGGCCCAGACUCCUACGGGAGGCAGCAGUGGAGAAUAUUGCACAAUGGGCGGAAGCCUGAUGCAGCAACGCCGCGUGCGGGAUGACGGACUUCGGGUUGUAAACCGCUUUCGCCUGUGACGAAGCGUGAGUGACGGUAAUGGGUAAAGAAGCACCGGCUAACUACGUG
rnacentral:rRNA from 1 species